GACGUAGGGUGCGAGCGUUGUCCGGAUUUAUUGGGCGUAAAGAGCUCGUAGGCGGCUCGUCGCGUCGACCGUGAAAACCCGCGGCUCAACCUCGGGCCUGCAGUGGGUACGGGCAGACUAGAGUGCGGUAGGGGAGAUUGGAAUUCCUGGUGUAGCGGUGGAAUGCGCAGAUAUCAGGAGGAACACCAAUUGCGAAGGCAGCUCGCUGGGACGUAACUGACGCUGGAGGUGCGAAAGCGUGGGGAGCAAACAGG
rnacentral:rRNA from 1 species